UACAUGGGGUGCAAGCGUUGUCCGGAUUUACUGGGCGUAAAGGGCGCGUAGGCGGUCACGCACGUCCGUUGUGAAAUCGCUCGGCUCAACUGGGCGGGGUCAGCGGAUACGGCGUGGCUGGAGCAAGCUAGGGGGCAAUGGAAUUCCCGGUGUAGUGGUGGAAUGCGUAGAUAUCGGGAGGAACACCAGUGGCGAAGGCGGUUGCCUGGAGCUUUGCUGACGCUGAUGCGCGAAAGCGUGGGGAGCGAUCCGG
rnacentral:rRNA from 1 species